rnacentral:misc_RNA from 1 species
CUCAGAUGAACCAGGAAGCAAGCAAUGCCCACCCUUUGAAAGCUCUGGUACCAAUUUGCUAUUAGAAAGCCCUAAUUCAGGGGUUUCCACCUCUUGACAGAAGAAAGAAAGAAAGAAUUAGGUCGAAAGAGAAAGAGAGUAGAGAAGAGAGGAGAAAAAAGAGUUUAAUUUCUGUAUUUGAUUCAAAAUGAUCAUCUACAAUUAUGAGUCAACUAUUUAUUUACUUUCUCUAACAAAUUCCAUAAUUGACUCCAGCUACAUAACAGCCUAACUCAUUUUCCCUCCAAAACAUUCUCUUCCCUCCUA